UGGCACAGCCAUAUCACCCUGCAGCCCAAGACUGGUUGGUUGCCCACUGAAGCUAAGCAGGUUUGAGCCUGGUCAGACCUGGAUGGGAGAGCUCCUGGGAAAACUAGGUUGCUGUUGGAA
ensembl:rRNA 5S_rRNA 5S ribosomal RNA